GGGGGGAGUUGGGAAGAGGAGGCAGAGAGAAAGACAGCCCUGAGUCAUCAGUGCUGGGUAAGGGGUGAGGAGAUCAACUAAACAGAAGUAGGGGUCAAAUUCUACACCUUUGACUUUGUUGGUCUUUGUUGUUGGUCUGGAUCUGGAAUUUCACUGGUUCUGAGAACUCCCAGUAUGGAAUACUCCCUCUUCUGAUGCAGAUUGGCUGCAAAGUCUGAAACAUGAGGACCUCUUCUUACCUCCCACCCAGCAAAAGGAAACAGGUGGAGCUACCCAAAACCAUGGAUAGUACUCCUGUAGAACAGCCAUUUCAUGCAGAAUCAACACAGGUUCAUUCCAGGGAAAGGGAACGGGAAGAGCUUAGGGAACCCCUGAUAAAAUGGGAAACAGGACAGAAAGGGUUUAAAUCCCCACACAUUCUCCCUAGAUUCCUUUUUCUCUCUUCCAGAAUAGAGUGGAAAAUGGAUCCCCACCGUCAUGGCAGGAGCAGGAGUUAAUCUACCAAUUUACAGAGAUUUCCUUCCUAUAGCUCCUAUGCAUAGAGGCAGUCCCUGGAGGUCACGACCAGUAUUGACAUUUAUCCCAAAUUCUUUCUCAGUCAGGAAGACUGCCCCUAUCAAGGCAAUUCUUCCUUCUUCCUUCCUCUUCUGCCUUCACUUUGGUCACUACCUGAAGACUCAUUACCUGUCAAAAGAUAUUCAGAAUUAGUUCACUAACAUCAUUGCUGGUGUUGCCACAAACAAAUGGAUUGAGAAACUUACAAGUAUUAAAGAGAACCAGUUUAAGAGUACUAAGAUUAUGACUUGAUUAUGACAUGAAUGUAUCUGUGUGGUGUAUUUAUACGAAGAACUCUAACACAGAGGCUGUUAAAAAUGUAUUAGCACUUCAGUGGAACAUGAAUUUAAACCACUUCCAAAACACCACCCUGAUACCUCAUCAGGACAUGGAGGUAACCCUGGCU